rnacentral:rRNA from 1 species
AGAGUUUGAUCAUGGCUCAGAACAAACGCUGGCGGCGUGCCUAAUACAUGCAAGUCGAACGGGGAAUAUACCUUCGGGUAUUAGUACUAGUGGCGCACGGGUGAGUAAUACGUAGAUAAUCUUCCUUAAAGUGGGGAAUAACCAGUCGAAAGACUGGCUAAUACCGCAUAAGACCACAGGCUCUGAGGAGCCAGGGGUUAAAGGCUUCGGUCGCUUUAAGAUGAGUCUGCGUCCCAUUAGCUAGUUGGCGGGGUAAAAGCCCACCAAGGCUGUGAUGGGUAGCUGGUCUGAGAGGAUGGCCAGCCACACUGGGACUGAGACACGGCCCAGACUCCUACGGGAGGCAGCAGUAGGGAAUUUUGCACAAUGGACGAAAGUCUGAUGCAGCGACGCCGCGUGAGUGAUGAAGGCCUUCGGGUUGUAAAGCUCUGUUCUCAGGGAAUAAAAAAAUGAAGGUACCUGAGAAGAAAGGACCGGCUAACUUCGUGCCAGCAGCCGCGGUAAGACGGGGGGUCCUAGCGUUGUUCGGAAUUAUUGGGCGUAAAGCGGGCGUAGGUGGCUAUGUAAGUCAGGAGUGAAAGCCCUGGGCUCAACCCAGGAAGUGCUUUUGAUACUGCAUAGCUUGAAUGUGGGAGAGGAUAGUGGAAUUCCAGGUGUAGUGGUGAAAUACGUAGAUAUCUGGAGGAACACCGGUGGCGAAGGCGGCUAUCUGGCCCAACAUUGACACUGAAGCCCGAAAGCGUGGGCAAACAGGAUUAGAUACCCUAGUAGUCC